AACGAACGCUGGCGGCAGGCCUAACACAUGCAAGUCGAACGAUAUAGUGGCAGACGGGUGAGUAACGCGUGGGAACGUACCUUUCACUACGGAAUAGCUCUGGGAAACUGGUGGUAAUACCGUAUACGCCCUCCGGGGGAAAGAUUUAUCGGUGAAAGAUCGGCCCGCGUUGGAUUAGCUAGUUGGUGAGGUAAUGGCUCACAAAGGCGACGAUCCAUAGCUGGUCUGAGAGGAUGAUCAGCCACACUGGGACUGAGACACGGCCCAGACUCCUACGGGAGGCAGCAGUGGGGAAUCUUGCACAAUGGGCGAAAGCCUGAUGCAGCCAUGCCGCGUGAAUGAUGAAGGCCUUAGGGUUGUAAAAUUCUUUCGUCAGGGAUGAUAAUGACCGUACCUGAAGAAGAAGCCCCGGCUAACUUCGUGCCAGCAGCCGCGGUAAUACGAAGGGGGCUAGCGUUGUUCGGAAUUACUGGGCGUAAAGCGCACGUAGGCGGACUUUUAAGUCAGGUGUGAAAUCCCGGGGCUCAACCUCGGAACUGCAUUUGAAACUGGAAGUCUUGAGAUCAGGAGAGGUUAGCGGAAUACCGAGUGUAGAGGUGAAAUUCGUAGAUAUUCGGUGGAACACCAGUGGCGAAGGCGGCUAACUGGACUGAUACUGACGCUGAGGUGCG
rnacentral:rRNA from 1 species